GUAUAAAGGAACGAGCAGGAGAGUUUGUUCCUGUGAACAGAGCUGAUCUGUGUUCAGAGCAUCGACGCCUCACACCAAACAGACGAGAACUCACAGACAGAGUGCAUGAUGGGACUGAAGACGCUGCUGCUCGUCUCUCUGCUCGGCGUUCUGGGUUGUUGCAGGGACUUUGUACAUCGUGGAUUUGGUGAUUUCCAGGACCGUCUGCCGUAAACCCCCCAGCGUCCAAAAUCUGUCCAAAUGCAACUUUAAGUUUCCUCGCAAGACGCUUCAGUGUCACGUUGAGGUUUUGGUGGUUCCCGGGCAGAAAAAGACCAGGACUCUGGAGUUCAGCUGUAAAGCCUGAAACCAGCAGCUGCCUCCACCUUCUUCAUCAUCAUCCUCCUCCCUGAUGGAGUUCACUGUGAUGGUGUCGUCGGCUCCCCCUGCAGCUCCUCAUCUGUAACACUAAACCUUUCUCACAAGUUUUCCUGCUGAUUUAUUUCUGUAUUUACAUGUAGUGAAGCAGAAACUGUGCUGUCUGUAAUCUUUGGUUGUGCUGAGUGCAGACGAGGCCACCUGCUGGUCAGGAGGAUGUACAGCAGCAGGUGGCCUCUCCUACAACACACACAAAUAAUUUCAAUCAAUCAAUCAUUCAACCAAUCAAAACUGAGUUCAGACCAGAAUUUACCUUUCAUUUAAUUUUAAUUUAAAUCACUGUAAAUUUAUAAUAAUAAAAACACUGCAAACCAA